AGAGCUGUCCUUUGUCCCCACUGUUUCCAUGGUCUAAGCAACAAGGUUGAAAUGUGCAAAAUGUGAUUUGUGCUCUGUUGGCUAAAGACAGCAGUGGGUCACUGACAAGAAAAUUCACCUGGAGGCCAAAUUGUCUCUAAUAACAAGUCCAAGACAUGCAUUCCAGCUGGAAUCCUCUUCCCGGAUGAACUUCUCAGAUGGCUCCUGUCUCGUCUACCAG
ensembl:lincRNA